rnacentral:miRNA from 1 species
CCGGCUGGGAGCCGCGAUUUUU